UUAAGGUGAAAGGCCAUCGGUUUUAGCGAAGAGCAGUCGCUAAAGGAAACGGGGAAAGUGCAGUGCAAAUCUGCCGCUGUCCCGCAGCUGUGAACCGGUUUGGGAGAUGCGAUUUGCGGCCAAUCAGUUUGGGUGGGAUGGACACCUAAACGAACAGCCAAAAUCAGUCAUUCCCAGUCGCGUAAGUCAGAAUGCCCGCCGAUGAUCACAACCUGUU
rnacentral:ncRNA from 2 species